rnacentral:tRNA from 2 species
ACGCUCUUAGCUCAGAUGGUUAGCAGCACUUGCCUUUUAAGCAAGGGGUCGUUGGUUCAAAUCCAGCAGGGCGUA